AUUGAACGCUGGCGGCAAGCCUAACACAUGCAAGUCGAACGAGUGGCGGACGGGUGAGUAAUGUCUGGGAAACUGCCCGAUGGAGGGGGAUAACUACUGGAAACGGUAGCUAAUACCGCAUACCAUCGGAUGUGCCCAGAUGGGAUUAGCUAGUAGGUGGGGUAAAGGCUCACCUAGGCCACGAUCCCUAGCUGGUCUGAGAGGAUGACCAGUCACACGGGAACGGAGACACGGUCCAGACGCCUACGGGAGGCAGCAGUGGGGAAUAUUGCACAAUGGGCGCAAGCCUGAUGCAGCCAUGCCGCGUGUAUGAAGAAGGCCUUCGGGUUGUAAAGUACUUUCAGCGGGGAGGCGUUACUCGCAGAAGAAGCACCGGCUAACUCCGUGCCAGCAGCCGCGGUAAUAC
rnacentral:rRNA from 1 species